rnacentral:rRNA from 1 species
CAGCAGCCGCGGGAAUACGAAGGGCGCGAGCGUUACCCGGAUUUACUGGGCGUAAAGGGCGUGUAGGCGGCCUGGGGCGUCCCAUGUGAAAGGCCACGGCUCAACCGUGGAGGAGCGUGGGAUACGCUCAGGCUAGAGGGUGGGAGAGGGUGGUGGAAUUCCCGGAGUAGCGGUGAAAUGCGCAGAUACCGGGAGGAACGCCGAUGGCGAAGGCAGCCACCUGGUCCACUUCUGACGCUGAGGCGCGAAAGCGUGGGGAGCAAACCGGAUUAGAUACCCCAGUAGUCCCUGUCUCUUAUAC